rnacentral:piRNA from 1 species
UCUAACGUUGUGGUCAGAAGA